AAAAAAAACCCUUUCUACUUAACAUUGUCUUAACCUCGUACUCUUUAUCCUCUUUCUUUCCAGGCUUCUGAAUUCCCUUCUGAGUUAAUGUCAAAUGACAGCAAAGCACUGUGUGGCUGAAUAAGCGGUGUUCAUGAUUUCUUUUAUUCUUUGCACAACAACAACAACAACAAAUUCACGGAAUCUUUUAAGUGCUGAACUUAUUUUUCAACCAUUUCACAAGGAGGACAAGUUGAAUGGACCUUUUUAAAAAGAAAAAAAAAAUGGAAGGAAAACUAAGAAUGAUCAUCUUCCCAGGGUGUUCUCUUACUUGGACUGUGAUAUUCGUUAUUUAUGAAAAAGACUUUUAAAUGCCCUUUCUGCAGUUGGAAGGUUUUCUUUAUAUACUAUUCCCACCAUGGGGAGCGAAAACGUUAAAAUCACAAGGAAUUGCCCAAUCUAAGCAGACUUUGCCUUUUUUCAAAGGUGGAGCGUGAAUACCAGAAGGAUCCAGUAUUCAGUCACUUAAAUGAAGUCUUUUGGUCAGAAAUUACCUUUUUGACACAAGCCUACUGAAUGCUGUGUAUAUAUUUAUAUAUAAAUAUAUCUAUUUGAGUGAAACCUUGUGAACUCUUUAAUUAGAGUUUUCUUGUAUAGUGGCAGAGAUGUCUAUUUCUGCAUUCAAAAGUGUAAUGAUGUACUUAUUCAUGCUAAACUUUUUAUAAAAGUUUAGUUGUAAAUUAACCCUUUUAUACAAAAUAAAUCAAGUGUGUUUAUUGAAUGGUGAUUGCCUGCUUUAUUUCAGAGGACCAGUGCUUUGAUUUUUAUUAUGCUAUGUUAUAACUGAACCCAAAUAAAUACAAGUUCAAAUUUAUGUAGACUGUAUAAGAUUAUAAUAAAACAUGUCUGAAGUCAA
rnacentral:lncRNA from 1 species